UUGCCUAACCACCAAAAGUGGCAUUUGCUUCUUUCCCAGAUAUUUUCGCUGAUGCCCAAUUUGUCCUUCUAUGGCGGUUCUUGCUGCACCCCUGCCCUUACCAAUCCCUAACUAGACAUAUUUUCCUCCACACAUUAAUUUACCCCCAAUUUCUACCGAUUCUUGCUGCUGCUGCUGCUGAUUGCUGGAUUUUCGCUAUGGGUUGAGCCGGAGCCGUGUCUGCCGAUCGAAGUUAGGGUUUGAUGGAGUGGGAUAGUAAUUCGGAGUCUGAUAUGAGCGGCGGCGAGGAGGAGGAGGAGGAGGAAGAAGAGGAAGGGUUAGGGUUAGGGUUUCUGCUGAGGAAGAGCGGCGGAGGACAGCUGCCGUUCCCCGUCGAGGCGCUUCUGCAGCCGGCGCCGUGUGGAUUUGUUGUGACGGAUGCUCUGGAGCCUGAUAAUCCCAUCAUUUACGUCAAUUCCGUGUUCGAGAUGGUCACUGGUUAUCGAGCGGAGGAAGUUCUCGGGCGUAAUUGCCGGUUCCUGCAAUGCCGAGGUCCAUUUGCCAAGCGAAGACAUCCAUUAGUGAGCCCCACAAUAGUUGCUGAAAUAAGAAAAUGUCUUGAUGAAGGGAUUGAGUUUCAAGGGGAGUUGCUAAAUUUCCGGAAAGAUGGAUCUCCGCUAAUGAAUAAGCUACGCAUGACACCGAUAUAUGGCGAUGACGAAACUAUUACCCAUGUUAUCGGUAUACAAGUUUUUACGGAAGCAACUCUUGAUCUGGGGCCCCUUCCAGGAUCUUCAACUAAGGUUUCCACCCGAGCAGCUGAUAGGUUUAGAUUUAAUGUAUCUCCUGGCAUAACCUCGGAUGGUACCCGAAAUGUCAGCCGCAGCGGGCUCUGCGGAAUCAUGCAGCUUAGUGACGAAGUAAUUGCUCUCAAGAUUCUUUCUCGACUGACCCCUCGGGAUAUUGCAUCAGUCGGCUCUGUUUGCCACCACUUCUAUGAACUAACAAAGAACGACGAUCUUUGGCGGAUGGUCUGCCAAAAUGCUUGGGGAAGCGAAACGACUCGAGUGUUGGAGACUGUGCCGGGUGCUAAACGACUUGGAUGGGGUAGAUUGGCGAGGGAGCUGACGACCCUCGAAGCGGCAGCAUGGAGAAAGGUGAUAGUCAGAGGCGCAGUCGAACCAUCUCGUUGCAACUUCAGCGUGUGCGCUGUGGGCAACCGAGUCGUCCUUUUCGGCGGGGAAGGCGUCAACAUGCAGCCGAUGAACGACACCUUUGUGUUGGACCUGAACUCGACUAAUCCCGAGUGGCAACAUGUCAAGGUGACCUCUCCGCCUCCCGGACGGUGGGGGCACACGCUUUCUUGCGUCAACGGGUCCCACCUUGUCCUGUUCGGCGGCUGCGGCCGACAGGGCUUACUCAACGACGUCUUUGUCUUGGACUUGGAUGCGAAACAGCCGAACUGGCGAGAAAUCUCGAGCUUGGCUCCUCCGCUUCCUCGAUCUUGGCACAGCUCGUGCACCCUCGACGGGACGAAGCUGAUAGUCUCCGGCGGAUGCGCGGACUCCGGAGUGCUUUUAAGCGACACGUUCUUGCUCGAUCUAUCGAUGGAGAAGCCGAUCUGGCGGGAAAUACCUGUCGCGUGGACCCCGCCUUCCCGUCUAGGCCACACGCUUUCCGUCUACGGUGGCCGGAAAAUCCUGAUGUUUGGGGGCCUUGCCAAGAGCGGGCCUCUCCGAUUUCGAUCCAGCGACGUAUUCACCAUGGAUUUAAGCGAGGACGAACCGUGCUGGAGAUGCGUCACGGGGAGUGGGAUGCCCGGCGCAGGAAAUCCCGGCGGCGUCGCUCCGCCGCCCCGACUCGACCAUGUGGCGGUGAGCCUGCCCGGAGGGAGAAUCCUCGUUUUCGGCGGGUCCGUCGCUGGCCUACAUUCCGCCUCCCAACUCUACAUACUCGAUCCGACGGAAGAGAAACCGACUUGGAGAAUUCUAAAUGUUCCCGGACGGCCCCCUAGGUUUGCGUGGGGGCACAGCACUUGUGUGGUCGGAGGGACGCGAGCUAUAGUCCUUGGGGGCCAAACCGGGGAAGAGUGGAUGUUGAGCGAGAUUCACGAGUUGUCGCUAACAAGCUCUGUUAUAUGAACAAUCGCGAGCCGAAUCAUCAAACGCCAUUCUUUUGGGGCCUCUGAGAAAUUUAAACGGUCCCUUGCCAGCCCCACAUUGUUGUAUCAUUGCCGGAGAACGAGGGAUUGCUGGACGAAGCGCGACGAGAAUUGACUCGAAAAACUCACCACGCAAUGAGACGAAAGUAGAGGCAUCAUUUUUUAUUCACCAUCGCAUUGGCUUCGUGCGGUAGAAGCCACCUCGACAGCUUCUGGGUCGCAAUUUGUUUAAUCUAUUCUCACCUUCGUUUCUUGAGAAAAAUCAGCAACUCUCAUUUGUUUGGCGCUUUCAUACCAACCGGCGGCCGGAAAUCAAUUGGAGGAGAGGAGUGUGCAUUAGAGGAUUUCUUCUAGUCGCCGGAAUUCGAGUCAGUUGAAAAAGAGUUUUUCUAUCAUCGAAAAUCGAUAUCUGCCGGAGAAGGAACUGAAAAUCGAGUGU